GACAGAGGGUGCAAACGUUGUUCGGAAUUACUGGGCGUAAAGCGCGUGUAGGCGGCUUGGCAAGUCGGGUGUGAAAGCCCCGGGCUCAACCUGGGAAGUGCACUCGAAACUGCUUGGCUUGAGUGUCGGAGAGGGAAGCGGAAUUCUCGGUGUAGAGGUGAAAUUCGUAGAUAUCGAGAGGAACACCGGUGGCGAAGGCGGCUUCCUGGACGACGACUGACGCUGAGACGCGAAAGCGUGGGGAGCAAAC
rnacentral:rRNA from 1 species